AAUGAACGCUGGCGGCAGGCCUAACACAUGCAAGUCGAACUGAUCCUUCGGGAUUAGUGGCGGACGGGUGAGUAACGCGUGGGAACAUACCCAAAGGUACGGAAUAGCCUCGGGAAACUGGGAGUAAUACCGUAUGUGCUCGAAAGAGGAAAGAUUUAUCGCCUUUGGAUUGGCCCGCGUUGGAUUAGGUAGUUGGUGGGGUAAUGGCCUACCAAGCCGACGAUCCAUAGCUGGUUUGAGAGGAUGAUCAGCCACACUGGGACUGAGACACGGCCCAGACUCCUACGGGACGCAGCAGUGGGGAAUCUUAGACAAUGGGGGAAACCCUGAUCUAGCCAUGCCGCGUGAUCGAUGAAGGCCUUAGGGUUGUAAAGAUCUUUCAGGUGGGAAGAUAAUGACUGUACCACCAGAAGAAGCCCCGGCUAACUCCGUGCCAGCAGCCGCGGUAA
rnacentral:rRNA from 1 species